rnacentral:rRNA from 1 species
AUGAAAAUACUAAGCUGGAACUGUCGAGGGCUGGGUCGGCCUCGUACAGUUCAAGAAUUAGUUUGGCUCAAUAAGUCUUACCGACCCAACAUUGUUUUUCUUUCUGAAACUAGGAAAAAUAAAGAUUAUGUUGAGAGUUUGUGGUAUCAUUUGGGUAUGAAAAAUGUUUUUACAGUUUCGGGUAAAGGCAAAGGCGGUGGCUUAGCGGUUUUUUGGGAUGAGUGCUUCUCUGUGGAGUUCAACAAAUUUGGCGAUCAUUUUAUUGACUUGUAUAUUUGCAAGAGUGGUGGAUCAAAAUGGAGGUGCACUUUGGUUUAUGGCGAACCGAAGGCGAGUCAAAGGUACGUAAUGUGGGAGCUUUUGAGACAGAUUAAAUCUCUUGGUUCUGGUCCUUGGUUUAUGGUCGGAGAUUUUAAUGAAGCUAUGUGGCAAUAUGAGCAUUUCUCACGUAAUACAAGAUCACCUAAACUCAUGGCAAAUUUCUGGGAGGUUCGCUCUGGGUGCAACCCAUUUGAUCUGGGGGUUUAUGGUGUGCCUUGGAUGUAUGAUAAUAAGUAGGAAGGAAAUUGAAAUGUGAAGGUGCAACUGGAUCGUGCGGUCGCUUGUCCACAAUGGACUUCAAUGUUCCCUCAUUGUACAGUGUCACACAUUAUUUCUUCCAGGUCAGAUCAUUGCCCUUUGUAUAUUCAGCUGAUGGGUAAUCAGCGUAACGUCGCCUUUAAAAACAUUUGA